GAGUUUGAUCUUGGCUCAGAUUGAACGCUGGCGGCAUGCCUUACACAUGCAAGUCGAACGGUAACAGGUCUUCGGAUGCUGACGAGUGGCGAACGGGUGAGUAAUACAUCGGAACGUGCCCCGAUCGUGGGGGGAUAACGGAGCGAAAGACUUUGCUAAUACCGCAUACGAUCUACGGAUGAAGCAGGGGACCGCAAGGCCUUGCGCGGACGGAGCGGCCGAUGGCAGAUUAGGUAGUUGGUGGGGAUAAAAGACUUACCAAGCCGACGAUCUGUAGCUGGUCUGAGAGGACGACCAGCCACACUGGGACUGAGACACGGCCCAGACUCCUACGGGGAGGCAGCAGUUGGGGAAUUUUGGACAAUGGGCGAAAGCCUGAUCCAGCCAUGCCGCGUGCAGGAUGAAGGCCUCGGUUGUAACUGCUUUGUACGGACGAAAGACU
rnacentral:rRNA from 1 species